UGCUGGUUAGCUCAGCUGGUUAGAGCGUGGUGCUAAUAACGCCAAGGUUGCGGGUUCGAUCCCCGUACUGGCCG
rnacentral:tRNA from 1 species